AUUGAACGCUGGCGGCAGGCCUAACACAUGCAAGUCGAGCGGAUGAAGGGAGCUUGCUCCUGGAUUCAGCGGCGGACGGGUGAGUAAUGCCUAGGAAUCUGCCUGGUAGUGGGGGAUAGCGUCCGGAAACGGGCGCUAAUACCGCAUACGUCCUGAGGGAGAAAGUGGGGGAUCUUCGGACCUCACGCUAUCAGAUGAGCCUAGGUCGGAUUAGCUAGUUGGUGGGGUAAAGGCCUACCAAGGCGACGAUCCGUAACUGGUCUGAGUGGAUGAUCAGUCACACUGGAACUGAGACACGGUCCAGACUCCUACGGGAGGCAGCAGUGGGGAAUAUUGGACAAUGGGCGAAAGCCUGAUCCAGCAAUGCCGCGUGUGUGAAGAAGGUCUUCGGAUUGUAAAGCACUUUAAGUUGGGAGGAAGGGCAGUAAGUUAAUACCUUGCUGUUUUGACGUUACCAACAGAAUAAGCACCGGCUAACUUCGUG
rnacentral:rRNA from 1 species